rnacentral:lncRNA from 1 species
AAAAACUACAAAAUAUGAAGACGGCUGUUAUAAGCCAGGUUUUCCCGAUGUUGUGCCAGUGUGUUCACAUAGUUAAAACAUGACGGUGCCAUGAAAUUACAUGUGCAAAAACGACGAAUCUUCCCCCCACCGCCAAGGAGGAGGAGGAGGAACAAACUUUUAUUUAAACCAGCAGUUUAGUUGGCUGGGCCUAGGCCUCCCACGUGGGGACAUCGAGGUCUUGCCUCUUCGCCGCCUCGCAGGCUUGCUGGGUAGCCCAGAGUUGGUCAUCGAGUUGGGAGCUGCACAGGGCAGCGUGCCAUGUCGACGAGAGGGUCAUGGUAUUAUUUCCAAUAUCCCCACCGCCAAUCAUUUUUUUUUUUGACACCUCCAUUUUUGCAUCGACUAGUAAGGACGCCUUCAUCACUUCAACGAACAGUACUGGUUCCCCAUUUAAAGUUUAAAAAAAUUUUCAGCCUUACUUUUAUUUGUGACAGUACAUGACCACCAAAACACAGGGCAGCUUGCCAUUACGCACAUUUGCAUGAAGUCAGCAUUACAUGUACUACGCCACUCACUGAUUAAAAUCACUGUAUAAAUCUAAAAAUGAUAAGCUAGAAUGUCAUUUUUUGCUGGGGAUGUCAUGAUUGAGUGUACAGAAGUUAGCAGAUAGGCCGGGCAGGGCAUCUGUGCCCUUUGUCUAGAGUAUGCAGGCUUGGUCACCUGCAACCAGCACCCAUUGAAGGCGCAGAAAA